rnacentral:rRNA from 1 species
AGAGUUUGAUCCUGGCUCAGAUUGAACGCUGGCGGUAUGCUUUACACAUGCAAGUCGAACGGAGUUGGAGCUUGCUCCAAUUUAGUGGCGAACGGGUGAGUAAUAUAUCGGAACAUGUCCGGAAGUGGGGGAUAACGUAGCGAAAGUUACGCUAAUACCGCAUAUGCCCUGAGGGGGAAAGGGGGGGAUCGCAAGACCUCUUGCUUUCGGAGUGGCCGAUAUCGGAUUAGCUAGAUGGUGGGGUAAAGGCCUACCAUGGCGACGAUCCGUAGCUGGUCUGAGAGGACGACCAGCCACACUGGAACUGAGACACGGUCCAGACUCCUACGGGAGGCGGCAGUGGGGAAUUUUGGACAAUGGGCGAAAGCCUGAUCCAGCCAUACCGCGUGAGUGAAGAAGGCCUUCGGGUUGUAAAGCUCUUUCAGCCGGAAAGAAAUCGCAUCUUUUAAUACGGGGUGUGGAUGACGGUACCGGAAGAAGAAGCACCGGCUAACUACGUGCCAGCAGCCGCGGUAAUACGUAGGGUGCGAGCGUUAAUCGGAAUUACUGGGCGUAAAGCGUGCGCAGGCGGUUUUUUAAGCCAGAUGUGAAAUCCCCGGGCUUAACCUGGGAACUGCAUUUGGAACUGGAAGACUAGAGUGUAGCAGAGGGGGGUAGAAUUCCACGUGUAGCAGUGAAAUGCGUAGAUAUGUGGAGGAAUACCAAUGGCGAAGGCAGCCCCCUGGGUUAACACUGACGCUCAUGCACGAAAGCGUGGGGAGCAAACAGGAUUAGAUACCCUGGUAGUCCACGCCCUAAAC